GGACUACCGGGGUAUCUAAUCCUGUUUGCUCCCCACGCUUUCGUGCAUGAGCGUCAGUACAGGUCCAAGGGGCUGCCUUCGCCAUCGAUGUUCCUCCUGAUAUCUACGCAUUUCACUGCUACACCAGGAAUUCCACCCCUCUCUACCGUACUCUAGUCAUACAGUCACAAACGCAGUUCCCAGGUUGAGCCCGGGGAUUUCACAUCUGUCUUAUAUAACCGCCUGCGCACCCUUUACGCCCAGUAAUUCCGAUUAACGCUCGCACCCUACGUAUUACCGCGGCUGCUGGCAC
rnacentral:rRNA from 1 species